CGAAAGGAACGCUAAUACCGCAUACGUCCUACGGGAGAAAGCAGGGGACCUUCGGGCCUUGCGCUAUCAGAUGAGCCUAGGUCGGAUUAGCUUGUUGGUGAGGUAAUGGCUCACCAAGGCGACGAUCCGUAACUGGUCUGAGAGGAUGAUCAGUCACACUGGAACUGAGACACGGUCCAGACUCCUACGGGAGGCAGCAGUGGGGAAUAUUGGACAAUGGGCGAAAGCCUGAUCCAGCCAUGCCGCGUGUGUGAAGAAGGUCUUCGGAUUGUAAAGCACUUUAAGUUGGGAGGAAGGGUUGUAGAUUAAUACUCUGCAAUUUUGACGUUACCGACAGAAUAAGCACCGGCUAACUCUGUGCCAGCAGCCGCGGUAAUACA
rnacentral:rRNA from 1 species